UGCUUAUAUCAUUAUUAAAGAGUAACUUCAUCCAGUAAUCAGCCUGCUUGUACUGCCGUCUCACAGAAGCUCCAUGCUCCGUUCAAAAAGUCCAAAUGCAACAGAAUCAGAGUAACAUCAGUUUCUAUGAAUACUAUUCACCAAAAGAGACACAAUACAAUUUGUUCAUCAACUGUUUAUAAGUGGAGCUAUUUUUUUCCUCUAUGUGAAUCUUCUCACAUUCACACAGACCGACCAAAGGUGGCGUUCUCACUUGGUCUCACUGAUGAUGGACUUAUUGGACCCUUCAAUACUGACAUCACACUUAAGUUCAGUAAAGUCUUCACCAACUUUGGUCAGGCCUACAGUCCAACUACAGGUCUCUUCACAGCCCCAGUCAGAGGAGUCUACUACUUCUCAUUCACUACAGUGGAUACCCGGACGAACGUAUGGGGCGCUGUUACUCUCUAUCACAAUGACAAGAGAUUGUUGUGGAAUAAUAAUGACAAUGAUGAACAUGGCUAUACCAUACUUUCUAAUUCACUGGUUAUUCAGCUGGAAAAGGGGGAUGUGGUCUACAUGGUUUUACCUGUCCACUAUAGUGUAUACGAUGAUGUACAUGAUCGUACUAAUUUUAAUGGAUUUCUGCUUUUUCCACUGUGAGACUAAAACAUGAGAAUUUCUUUACCCCUACAUUUUUGGCAUAGUCUACAAACAAGUCAUACAGUAUUCAUAUGUAAAUGAAAGGAUGCACAUUGUUGCUGUGUUGGCUUUGCUCUGUAACAAACUACAUGUGAAAUAAAAGAAUGACUAUGAGGUUAAA